rnacentral:rRNA from 1 species
GACAGAGGGUGCAAACGUUGUUCGGAAUUACUGGGCGUAAAGGGCGCGUAGGCGGCCACCGCAAGUCGGUUGUGAAAUCUCCGGGCUUAACCCGGAAAGGUCAAUCGAUACUGCGGGGCUAGAGUGCAGAAGGGGCAACUGGAAUUCUCGGUGUAGCGGUGAAAUGCGUAGAUAUCGAGAGGAACACCUGCGGCGAAGGCGGGUUGCUGGGCUGACACUGACGCUGAAGCGCGAAAGCUAGGGGAGCGAACGGG